CACGGGGGGAGCAAGCGUUGUUCGGAAUCACUGGGCGUAAAGCGCGUGUAGGCGGCCAAGUAAGUGGGAUGUGAAAUCCCCAGGCUUAACCUGGGAACUGCGUCUGAUACUGGAUGGCUUGAAUUCGGGAGAGGGAUGCAGAAUUCCAGGUGUAGCGGUGAAAUGCGUAGAUAUCUGGAGGAAUACCGGUGGCGAAGGCGGCAUCCUGGACCGAGAUUGACGCUGAUGAGCGAAAGCUAGGGGAGCAAACGGG
rnacentral:rRNA from 1 species